rnacentral:rRNA from 1 species
GACGAACGCUGGCGGCGUGCUUAACACAUGCAAGUCGAACGGAAAGGCCCUGCUUUUGUGGGGUGCUCGAGUGGCGAACGGGUGAGUAACACGUGAGUAACCUGCCCUUGACUUUGGGAUAACUUCAGGAAACUGGGGCUAAUACCGGAUAGGAGCUCCUGCUGCAUGGUGGGGGUUGGAAAGUUUCGGCGGUUGGGGAUGGACUCGCGGCUUAUCAGCUUGUUGGUGGGGUAGUGGCUUACCAAGGCUUUGACGGGUAGCCGGCCUGAGAGGGUGACCAGCCACAUUGGGACUGAGAUACGGCCCAGACUCCUACGGGAGGCAGCAAUGGGGAAUAUUGCACAAUGGGCGGAAGCCUGAUGCAGCAACGCCGCGUGCGGGAUGACGGCCUUCGGGUUGUAAACCGCUUUCGCCUGUGACGAAGCGUGAGUGACGGUAAUGGGUAAAGAAGCACCGGCUAACUACGUG